ensembl:piRNA 21ur-1399 ncRNA
UCAAUAUCCAAAAAAACUGGC